UACGUAGGGGGCAAGCGUUGUCCGGAUUUAUUGGGCGUAAAGAGCGUGUAGGCGGCCAAAUAGGUCGGUUGUGAAAACUGGAUGGCUCAACCUCCAGACGUCGACCGAAACCAUCUGGCUAGAGUCCGGAAGAGGAGAAUGGAAUUCCUGGUGUAGCGGUGAAAUGCGCAGAUAUCAGGAAGAACACCCGUGGCGAAGGCGGUUCUCUGGGACGGUACUGACGCUGAGACGCGAAAGCGUGGGGAGCGAACAGG
rnacentral:rRNA from 1 species